ACGGGAGGCAGCAGUGGGGAAUAUUGCACAAUGGGGGAAACCCUGAUGCAGCGACGCCGCGUGAGUGAAGAAGUAUUUCGGUAUGUAAAGCUCUAUCAGCAGGGAAGAAAAUGACGGUACCUGACUAAGAAGCCCCGGCUAACUACGUGCCAGCAGCCGCGGUAAUACGUAGGGGGCAAGCGUUAUCCGGAUUUACUGGGUGUAAAGGGAGCGCAGACGGCAAGGCAAGUCUGAUGUGAAAGGUGGGGGCUCAACCCCCAAACUGCAUUGGAAACUGUCUGGCUAGAGUGCCGGAGAGGUAAGCGGAAUUCCUAGUGUAGCGGUGAAAUGCGUAGAUAUUAGGAGGAACACCAGUGGCGAAGGCGGCUUACUGGACUGUAACUGACGUUGAGGCUCGAAAGCGUGGGGAGCAAACAGGAUUAGAUACCCUGGUA
rnacentral:rRNA from 1 species